UAAUUUUUCUCCAAACAAAAAAGGAAAUCAGUUUACAAAAAGAAUGGCUUAGGGUUCCUUCUUUCUCUCUUUAUUUUCUCCUGUUCUUAUUUAAUGUAAUUCAGGGAUUAUUUUGCGGCUGGAUUUCUGCAAAUUAUCCAUGAAAUAAAAUUAUUAUAUUAAGAGCACAAAUCCCAAUAGUAUGCAAAGUCACACGGCGACCAACAGCGCCGCUGGUUCACAAGCUUGUGCUGUUUGUAAAUUCCAACGUAGAAAAUGCACCAAUAACUGUCUUUUGGCUCCAUUUUUCCCUGCUAAUCGCCAUAAAGAUUUCCUUAAUACCCGUAAACUUUUUGGGGUUCGAAAUAUUAUCAAGCUCAUUGAAAAUCUUAACUUUCAGCAACGUGUUAUUGCCAUUAGAACCAUCAUUUUUGAAGCUAAUAUGAGGGCACAAAACCCCGUUGGCGGUUGUUAUGGGUUGAUAUGCGACUUGAAUAACAAAAUCGCAGCCGCAGAAGCAGUACAAUGAUGGUGGUGAUCAGAAUUUGGAUGCUGGUUUUAGUAUAUUUGAUGGUGGUGGUGAUGUGGAUGAAGAUAUGAAGCCAUUGUUUGGUGAUAAUAAGAGAGACCAAUCGUUUUCAUUUGAUUCAGAAGGGCAUGUUGUUUUCUCGGAUGAUAAGAAAGAGAAGCAAACAUUUUGCGUUGACUCUGGUGGAUCCAAAAUUCAAAACAGUGAUCAACAUGUGUCAAAGCAAAGGGGUGGCUUAAACCAACAUCAGCUGAAGAAUGAUCUCAAUGGUGGUGCUUCCAUGUUUACUCUCACUAAUGGCAAGGAAUAGAUAGAUAGAACUGAUUUUUGGUGUUUUAGUCUUAAUUAGAUCCAAUUUGGCAAGAGGAGCAAAUUCGACUAUGAGCAAAAGCAAGACGUGAACCGAAAAUUGAAGAAAAAACAUAGGAGCACUGAAUUUACGUGCGCGCUGCGGCACCAUGUUCCACAACACAAGCAAGUUGCGUUGCUUUAUUGUCUUUUUGCUCCUGAUUUCUAUUCUUCACUCCCAAGUCGAAUGAAGUCCUAAUUAGAUCAACACAAGACUAAAUAACCACAAUUAAGCCUUAGUUAGAAAGAAGAGAGAAGUGCUUAAUUAGGUUUUAAGUUUUCUUAUUUUUCUCUUUUUAAUUAUCUUUCCAAAGUAAGUGUACCAAAGCAGCUUGGAUUGAAAUUUAGAAUUGUAAUUGUUUAAUAAGUUUUUUUAAGAAGUUUUUUUUUUCUCUUAAA